AGAGUUUGAUCCUGGCUCAGAACGAACGCUGGCGGCGUGCCUAAUACAUGCAAGUCGUGCGAGAAAGUUCCGCUUCGGUGGAGCGAGUAAAGCGGCAAACGGGUGAGUAACACGUAAGUAAUCUGCCCCUAAGUUCGGAAUAACCUUGCCAACGCGGGGAUAAUACCGGAUGUGGUCACGAGAUCGCAUGGUUUCGUGAUUAAAGAUGACCUCUACUUGUAAGUUACCGCUUUGGGAUGGGCUUGCGCACCAUUAGCUAGUCGGUAGGGUAACGGCCUACCAAGGCUGCGAUGGUUAGCCGACCUGAGAGGGUGAUCGGCCACAUUGGGACUGAGAUACGGCCCAGACUCCUACGGGAGGCAGCAGUAGGGAAUUUUGCGCAAUGGACGAAAGUCUGACGCAGCAACGCCGCGUGAGGGAUGAAGGGUUUCGGCUCGUAAACCUCUGUUGAGUGGGAAGAAACGCCAUACGGUUAAUACCCGUAUGGUCUGACGGUACCAUUCGAGGAAGCUCCGGCUAACUACGUGCCAGCAGCCGCGGUAAUACGUAGGGGGCAAGCGUUGUUCGGAAUUACUGGGCGUAAAGGGAGUGUAGGCGGGAGAGUAAGUCAGGAGUUUAAUCCACAGGCCUAACCUGCGGUCGGCUUUUGAUACUGCUUUUCUUGAGUAUGGGAGAGGAAGAUGGAAUUCCAGGUGUAGCGGUGGAAUGCGUAGAUAUCUGGAAGAACACCAGUUGCGAAGGCGGUCUUCUGGCCCAAUACUGACGCUGAGGCUCGAAAGCUAGGGGAGCAAACAGGAUUAGAUACCCUGGUAGUCCUAGCCAUAAACGAUGGACACUAGUUGGUGGGGGGGGUCAAUCCCUUCACUGACGUAGCUAACGCAUUAAGUGUCCCGCCUGGGGAGUACGCUCGCAAGGGUGAAACUCAAAGGAAUUGACGGGGGCCCGCACAAGCGGUGGAGCAUGUGCUUUAAUUCGAUCCUACGCGAAGAACCUUACCUGGGCUUGACAUGGAGUGAAAGUUUCCAGAGAUGGAAUCCUUUCCGCAAGGAACACUCUACACAGGUGCUGCAUGGUUGUCGUCAGCUCGUGUCGUGAGAUGUUGGGUUAAGUCCCGCAACGAGCGCAACCCCCGUCCUUAGUUGCCAUCAGGUAAUGCUGGGAACUCUAGGGAGACUGCCUGGUCACAACCAGGAGGAAGGUGGGGAUGACGUCAAAUCAUCAUGGCUCUUACGUCCAGGGCUAGACUCGUGCUACAAUGGUCGGUACAAUGGGCUGCGACAUCGCGAGGUGAAGCAAAUCCUUAAAACCGGUCUCAGUUCAGAUUGGAGUCUGCAAUUCGACUCCAUGAAGGUGGAAUCGCUAGUAAUCGCGGAUCAGCAUGCCGCGGUGAAUACGUUCCCGGGCCUUGUACACACCGCCCGUCAAGCCAUGAAAGGUGGGAGUACCCGAAGUCAUAGCCUUAACCGCAAGGAUGGGCGUGCCGAAGGUAAGACCACUGAUUGGGGCUAAGUCGAAACAAGGUA
rnacentral:rRNA from 1 species